rnacentral:rRNA from 1 species
UACGUAGGGGGCAAGCGUUGUCCGGAUUUACUGGGCGUAAAGAGCGUGUAGGCGGCCACGCAGGUCCGUUGUGAAAACUGGAGGCUCAACCUCCAGCUGUCGACGGAAACCGUGUGGCUAGAGUCCGGAAGAGGAGAGUGGAAUUCCUGGUGUAGCGGUGAAAUGCGCAGAGAUCGGGAGGAACAUCUGUGGCGAAGGCGACUACCUGGACCAGCACUGACACUGAGGCACGAAAGCGUGGGGAGCAAACAGG